rnacentral:misc_RNA from 1 species
GUUGUUGGUGGUGGAUCUCAAAACAAUCUGAUCAAUGGUGGGUUUAACAAGGGGACUUAUUCAAAGAAUAGUCAUAACAACAAUAUCAAUGUUCACCUGAAGGGCAAUAAGAAGAAGGGAGAGGAAGAUCAUGGAGGCAAAAUUGGCAAGAAGAAUACUAACAAGAAGAACAACGGUGAUAGUAAUAACAAUAACGAUGGUAAGGAUAAACAGAGUGCUGUUGAUAAGAGGUUUAAGACACUUCCACCAGCAGAGUCUCUGGCAAGAAAUGAAACUGUUGGUGGCUAUAUCUUUGUCUGCAAUAACGAUACUAUGCAAGAGAAUCUCAAGAGGCAGCUCUUUGGUU